rnacentral:ncRNA from 1 species
AACGCCGACGUGGGUCCCGGGAAGAGUUCUCUUUUCUUGAUAAGGGGCGGCGACCCUGGAAUCGGUUCGCCCGGAGAUAGGGACAUGGGCCCCGUAAAGCAGCACGUCUCUUGUGCUGUCCGGUGAGCUCGCGUCGGCCCUUGAAAAUCCGAGGGAGACGGUGUAAUUUUCGUGCGAGGUCGUACCCAUAUCCGCAGCAGGUCUCCAAGGUGAACAGCCUCUGGCCGAUAGAACAAUGUAGGUAAGGGAAGUCGGCAAACUAGAUCCGUAACUUCGGGAAAAGGAUUGGCUCUAGGGGCUGGGUCGGUCGGGCUGAGGUACGAAGCGGGGCGCGACCGCUGUACCGGACUGGGCGAACGACGGCCUCCCUCAAAAAGGGCUGGCGUGAGCCUGGACCUGUGUCGGCAUCUUCCCGUGGAAUGCCGCAGCUAACGCGGGCCUCGCGGCCCGCUUCGGCCGGCGUCGAACAGCCGACUUAGAACUGGUACGGACCGGGGGAAUCCGACUGUUUAAUUAAAACAAAGCUUUGCGAUGGCCGUCAGCCGGUGU